CGUAGGGACCGAGCGUUGUCCGGAUUCAUUGGGCGUAAAGAGCUCGUAGGCGGCCACUCAAGUCGAAUGUGAAACCUCGAGGCUUAACCUCGAGCCUGCAUUCGAUACUGGGCGGCUAGAGUCUGGUAGGGGGAUCUGGAAUUCCUGGUGUAGCGGUGGAAUGCGCAGAUAUCAGGAGGAACACCGGUGGCGAAGGCGGGAUCCUGGGCCAGUACUGACGCUGAGGAGCGAAAGCGUGGGGAGCAAACAGGAUUAGAUACCCUGGUAGUCCACGCCGUAAACGAUGGGCGCUAGGUGUGGGAGGUCAUCGACUCCUUCCGUGCCGCAGCUAACGCAUUAAGCGCCCCGCCUGGGGAGUACGGCCGCAAGGCUA
rnacentral:rRNA from 1 species